UACGUAGGAGGCGAGCGUUGUCCGGAGUUACUGGGCGUAAAGGGUGCGCAGGCGGUCCGUGCAAGUGUGGGGUGAAAUCUCCCGGCUCAACCGGGAGGGUGCCGCGCAAACUGCCGGACUUGAGGCUCGGAGAGGGGCGUGGAAUUCCGGGUGGAGCGGUGAAAUGCGUAGAGAUCCGGAGGAACACCGACGGCGUAGGCAGCGCCCUAGACGAGACCUGACGCUCAGGCACGAAAGCGCGGGGAGCGAACAGG
rnacentral:rRNA from 1 species